rnacentral:rRNA from 1 species
UACGUAGGGUGCAAGCGUUGUCCGGAAUUAUUGGGCGUAAAGAGCUCGUAGGCGGUUUGUCGCGUCGGCUGUGAAAAACUUGGGGCUCAACCCCAAGCUUGCGGUCGAUACGGGCAGGCUGGAGUUCGGUAGGGGAGACUGGAAUUCCUGGUGUAGCGGUGGAAUGCGCAGAUAUCAGGAGGAACACCGAUGGCGAAGGCAGGUCUCUGGGCCACUACUGACGCUGAGAAGCGAAAGCAUGGGGAGCGAACAGG